UCUUUUUGAAUUAUGCAGGUAUGCCGCCUUGCUUGUUGUUUCAUUGGUUUGCUAUGUGGCAACAUUUUCCUUCGCCGGCCUUCUCUUUUAUUUGUUUACUCCAUCUGGACAUGAUUGCGGACUCAACACCUUUUUCAUUGUGAUGACCCUGAUUUUUGCAUUCCUUUUUGCUAUAGUUACGCUGCAUCCUGUUGUAAGUUCCGACCUUUCAUUUUCUCUUAGCUAAGCCAAUCAUUAUCUUUCAUUCUUACUCUUUGGUUGAGCCUUUUUACACAAAGUUUAGUUCAUUUAACAAGCUGCUUAUAUUGUUGAUCUCACUGGUUAAACCUCAAGGGGUGGGAGUAAUGGCAGAGGCCUUGAGGAAUGACCUCAAGAUUGCUAGUUCCAAUCCCCAUAUUUAGGUUGCCUAUAUAUAUAUAUAUAUGAGUGUGUGUGUGUGUGUGUGUGUGUGUGUGUGUAUUGAUCUCCUUGUUUCAACUGCCACAAAAUAGGUAAGUGGCAGCAUUUUGCCAGCCUCAGUUAUAUCUUUGUACUGCACAUACCUCUGCUAUAGUGGACUUGCUAGUGAACCAAGGGAAUAUGCUUGCAAUGGUCUUCACAAGCAUUCUAAAGCGGUCAGCACUGGCACACUCACUGUUGGGCUGCUUACAACUGUGUUAUCUGUUGUCUAUUCUGCUGUUCGUGCGGGGUCUUCUACAACUUUGCUCUCCCCCCCAAGUUCACCUCGAGCAGGUCAGUGUCUAAUUAUUGAUGAACGCAUUGUGCAUUUGGAAGUGCAUUUCGUCUUCAUGCUUUAUGAAGUAAAUGAGUUUUUGAAGUUUUCUUCUGGUAAAAAAAGUAUGCUGAUUCCAAGUGUUGAUUUCACAAAACCAUGUUUGGUAAAGACACGCUGAUUCCAAGUGUUGGUCAAGUUUGUUUAUUCUGAGAUAUUCAAUUGAUCUGAUUUGGUGUUUAGAGAUUUGCAUAUUCCUCAUCCUAUUGGUCAAUUGUUUGCUUUCUUUCAAAGAUGCCAACAUUUAUCACAACUGAUUCAACUUUUAUAUCAUAUGGUGGUGUUUUUGGCAAAAGGUGUUAUUAAAACACUGCUAGUGCAUUUACUCUUAUUGUCGCGAUUAACAGGAUUGGAUUAACCGACUACAGCUGAAAUCUAACAUCUUGAAUUUCCUGGUGAAGGUGCUGGGAAGCCUCUGCUUCCUCUGGACAAGGCAGAUGAGCAUGAAGAGGAAAAAAACGCCAAGCCGGUCACAUACUCGUAUUCCUUCUUCCAUAUUAUCUUCUCUCUUGCCAGCAUGUACUCGGCAAUGCUUCUCACUGGGUGGUCGACUUCAGUUGGGGAGAGUGGUAAGUUGGUGGAUGUGGGGUGGGCAUCAGUCUGGGUCAGAAUCUUGACUGGGUGGGCAACUGCAGGUCUGUUUAUUUGGUCAAUGGUUGCCCCUCAUCUGUUCCCGGACAGGGAGUUCUGAGCAUAGUAAGCUGAAGUUGAACACGUAAUUGAUAUUUCUGUGUAGAGGGUGGUAUGUUGUUCUGUUUAUAUUGACGUGUUAGAGAAUGAAAGCAUGUUUGUGGAAAUUGGAUACAUCUGAUGUUGUGGUAAUGUAACCCAGAACUGUUUCUGGAUAUCAUUUCAAUUUCUAAAUAAAUACAAUCUGGUUUGGUGUUUGUUUUUCAAAAUAAUUCCAUUCUCAUGCUUGGUGGUUAAUUUUUAAUUUUAGAACAGGAGUAUAUAAUAUUAAUAAAGUGAGUGCCUUUGAGCGACCUCUUGAUAGCAGUUAACAUAUGGCAGGCUUAAAAUAUAGUUUCAAAUUCAAGCAAAAAUUAAUAUUCAAGAUAACAAUCAAUAGCAAGCAAUCAUGCGUAUUCUUUCCAUCUGCUCCUCAAUCUCUCUAAACUAAAAAAAUGCAAAAUUAAAAAUCCAAUGGAUAAGAUCUGCCCAUUAAAUUUCUUGAGACAAUUGGGAACCAUCCUAACAGACGGAGGCAGAGGAGAGCAAUAGAUCUGAAUUUAUUAAAAUGUUGGCCAAAAGACAAGGUUGCUCACUUUCUACAAGAGUAUAGAUUCAAACUACCCUUCCUUUGUUUUGACCAUCAAGAAACGAAAUACUAGUACUACUCUCAUUACAAGGCAAUCAAAACAAGAACAGAACCAUUAAAAACAAGGCCAUGCUCAGCCUUCUGCUUUUAUAAAAUUAAACAUGAGUUAAUCAAAAUAUAGCAACUGGAUACUGUAUAAAUUGAACUUAAUUAAAACCACACACUAUUAAGUUAAUGUAAUUUUUUUGACAUGAUGUCAAAUGGAAAUGGCAAGGAAUUAUCACAGCUAUGAUGUACUGCACAAUACCAACCCAACUUUUUCUUAAAGCAAUUGAAUCACCAUCCACUAUAUCCAUAAAACCAUAUAAUAGAUGACUGCUGUUGAGUUUCUCAUGGCAUUGUGAGGCUUCCACAAAAACUCAGGGAGCAAUGAUGAUACGGCUAUGAGCAGCAACCUGAAAGUAAUUUAUUUUUUAAGAAAAUAAUGCCAAGAAGUUAAUCUUUUACCAAAAAAAGGUAUUAACCCAAAACAAAUGACAAGCACCUGCUAGUUACUUUUGGUGUACACUAGUUUCUUAUCCAAAGCCCUAGUAUUUUCCAUUACAAAAAUAGAGUAAAGUAAAUUUUAAAAAAAAAGAAGAGCAUAACUUAAAAAAAGAAACAAAGAUACACACACAAAAAGCAUCCUGGGACUUUGUCACGCAAACAAGCAGGAAAAAAAAUAUAGGCAAAAGAAUAUCACAACAAAAUAUGCAAGUAGGAAAUGCUUAAGAAGUUGGAAGUUGCCAAGACUCCCCCUCCUAUAUUCAAUGUUCAACAAGUAUGUGGUUGUGAGAAUAUUGACAUUAUCGACAUAUUAUUUUACGAACAACCCAGUAGUCCAUACUAAUACAUCUUAGGCAAUUAGACUUAAAUCAGUCCCACACCAAUUACUGAUACUUGUAUCAACAGUCACUAAUUCGCGAGGCACAUGAGCUCCGUUAUUAGCCUUGAUUUUGGAAUUUGGUGGUACUUAGAACGUCAGUACAAUAUUUUCCCACAAGAAAAACUAAUAACAUUGACAAUGAGAUUCUUGAAAAAUCACAAGUACCAUAAAAAAACACCUUAAAUAAUCAGUAAAAAAGGCUAAGAAGAAACACCCACCUUGAAUACAACUUUCCCACAAAGUAAAACUAAAACCUGUCCUUCAAAAAGAUAUUUAUAUAUAUAUAUAUAUAUAUAUAUAUAUAGGGAAACGAUCCGUGGACAACGUUAGCUGGGAACCCGUGGACAACUAACGCUCAUCCAGUCGUCCAAAAUUGGAGUUAAUGGCUGAGAUGAGCUCCCAGCUGCUAGAGGGAGUAGCGGCCAGCAAUAAUUUUAAAAUUCCUCUUUCCUGGCCGCUAGAGGGAGUAGCGGCCAGUCAAAACGUUGUCGUUUUGGCNNNNNNNNNNNNNNNNNNNNNNNNNNNNNNNNNNNNNNNNNNNNNNNNNNNNNNNNNNNNNNNNNNNNNNNNNNNNNNNNNNNNNNNNNNNNNNNNNNNNUAAGAAAUAAUGAAGGAAUGAACUUCUAUUUAUAGAAGAAUGGACUGAAUAGUAACCAAUCCAUGAACGGUCCAGAUCAAUUUACUUUAAACGAACGGUCCAAAUUGAUAUACAAUAAAAUAUAUUCUAUUCUAUUUAUAAUCUAAUAAAACGAAUAACUUUUAAAAAGAUUUUACUAUGCAGGCACUAUGCAAAUACUAUGCAUAAUAAAAUAUAAUAUAUUCUAAUUAUUGUCUAAUAAAACGAAUAAUUUUAUAAAAGUAUUCUGUUUUAUAUAAAAAGAUUUUACUAUUAGCCUAAUAAAACGAAUAACUUUAUAAAAGUAUUCUGUUUUAUAUAAAAAGCUUUUAUAUUUUAUUACACUAAUAAUACUAAUAAAAUAAAAUUUCAUCAUCAUUAUUAUUAUUCACACUAUUAAUCGACCAGGUCGUUCCCAGGAAAGAGGGGACUUUCUAAUAAGGAUUUCUUUCUAUUGGCGCGCAAUUAGGUGACCAAACCUCUCAUUGACAUAACUUAUAGACAUCGUUAAUAUUGCAAAUAAUAAUAUUAAUAACUCUGUUAUCUCAAUUAUUGAUUUAAUAAUAUAAAAAAAAUAUUGACAAUAAUUGAAUCAAAUAACGUGAGAUAUUAUGCAACAAUUACUGAAGCAAUAAUUGAAUAAGACUGAGUGAUUUCUCACGUAAGCAUCAAUAAUCAAUACAAUGUGCUACUAUGCAAUCACGCGUAUUCCUGUACUUUUAACACUGGGUGUUUCAACAGUUAACGGUAAAACUUCCGCCGUUAUUUUCAUAAAAUAUUUUUUUGUCAUUUUCUUAAUCUAACAAUAAUUCCGUUGUGGGGUCCACCAAUGAUUGUGCCGUCGUACGAAUAUUCUCUGUUAAAACGAAUAUUCCCCGACCAAUCGAAUAUUAUAUAACAACUUGCGUACUUUGCAAAAUUUAUAAAUAUUAUCCACAACUAUAACAUUAUAUCAAAUUCAUUCAAAAAUGAUAAUUAUAAAAAAUUCAUCUUUAUUCAUAAAAGUUGGGGUCUUACAGUCAAAUUGUAUAUAAGUUUUAAUAUUCUAUUUUAAAAUUCAUCAGAAAGAUAAAAGUAAAAAAAAAUCUUUAACGUAAAAAUAAUAUAAAAAACUAAUUAUUAAUAUUUUUAAAAAUUUUAUAAAAAAAAUCACUCACUAAGAAAGAUAAAUAAAAAGGAACGAUGGAGUAUAAUUUAUACCGACAAAGUUUGGAACCGGUUGAUGGGUCGGGUUUUAGUAACUCGCUGUCUCCGAAGUCCGAACAGUGACAUAAAGACAAAGUCAUGCUAUAUCACAGCCGGGUGUCCAUAGAAAAAGCACCGUCUCAUCAAAUAGAAUUCGUAGUCCAAGUCGUCAAGCUAUUCUUCUCCGUAUUCCGCUAUUGUAUACGCCUGAUCAUCGUCCCGCCGCUAGAAGGUACACAAUCAUUCGUCCAUAUUUCCAUUGAAUCAAUUUAAAACUUUUUAAAACCAGGUUCGAGAAUUAUUAUAAUAAUUUAUUAAUCAGAGCUUAUUCAUUCUUUAUUGAAGUAAUUAUCAUGUUGAUGAUCAGGUUUAAUUUUGUCAAUUUUAGGGUUUUUACGGUACAGGUUUUGGUGGUAAUUGAAUUAAUUUUUGAAUAGGAGAGAAGAUGUGGGCGGCUUCCUGCCUAGCAUCUUGUUGCGCUGGGUGCGCAUGCAGUGCCUGCCAGACCGUGGUAUCAGGGAUAAGCCGCCGAUCUGCUAGAAUUGCGUAUUGUGGUCUAUUCGCACUGUCACUGAUCGUUUCAUGGAUUCUUAGUGAGGUUGCUGCACCUCUUAUGGAGAAGAUCCCCUGUAAGAUGUUUUUUUUUCUUUCUUUGAAGUUGUCAAGAGAAUUGUGGUUUUUAUAAAUCAACUGUUUGAGGUUGCUGCACCUUUUUAAUAUCAGUUUUGGAACCUAUAAAAUGAAAAUUUGAAAGGGAUUGAGAAUGUUUCAUUAAAUACUACAUAAAUGUUAUUACUUUUUGUACAAUGUUAUUGUUAAUUCUGAUUGAUUGUAACUGGGACCCAAAUUGUACAUUUGGGUAGACGGUAGUGCAGGGAUAGUCUUGCUCAUGUUCAGUUUUGCCUGGUGAAUAGUGAUUGUAGUACAAGUCUUAGAUAGUUAAUGUAAAUUCCCACUGUUUCCCAUCAGUUCUAACAACUCAAAAGGCAUUAGGCAUAUGAUGCGUUCAACCAUGCAACUCUCAUGUUCUAAUGACCAGUUAACUUUUACUAGAUUGUGGCUUUAGCACAAAUAUGUUUUGACUGAAUUCCCUGAUUGAUGCUGUUGAAAUUGGGUUUAUUUAUUAAGUUGAUGAUGACGAUGAGAUGCAAUGAUCUUCCAAAUGAAAUUCAUACGGUCAUUUUGAAGUUCUGCAUGCGACUGAGUUAUUCAAAUUGGUUUAGCAGACGUGCUGAUUUCUUGUUGGAUACCAAUGCAGGGAUUAACCAUUUUCACAAAACUCCAAAUAGGGAGUGGUUUGAAACUGAUGCAGUGCUGCGAGUUAGUUUGGGAAACUUCCUAUUUUUCUCUGUUCUAUCUCUUCUUAUGGUUGGUGUAAAAAAUCAGAAGGAUCCUCGUGAUGGUUUGCACCAUGGUGGGUGGAUGAUGAAAGUUAUCUGCUGGUGUCUCCUAGUCAUCUUUAUGUUUUUCCUUCCAAAUGAGAUUAUCAGCUUCUAUGGUAAGGCAUUUUCUCCAUCAGUUCGUAAUCACACGAGGGUUUAUAUGAUUAUUUUUCCUUUCUAGUUUAAAGCAUUUCCUCGUGUAAAUCUUAUUUAUUUCAUUGGUUUACUGAAAACACCAAAAAAAAUUCUAAAUGAGAUACCAUUCAUUAUUCCAUCCGCUUAUAGGACUUGCAUCACGUAUAGUCCAUUGUAAACAUAUAAUUUUAAAGUCUCCUGUUCAGCAUCAUGGAAGAAUUUACUUAUCUGGAGCAAAAGUGAAAUGAGUUAACCUUACGAUAAAUGAUGUUAAUCAAGGAAGAGGCUUAUCCAAGUUAGCAGCGAAGACAUGUAGACAAUGAAACUGGGACAGAGUUGAUCUUAGAUCAAAUUUACCGCAAAUUAUAUUACACACCCGCGUGAUGGGCUGGGUUUUGUUUCGGUUGAUGGUAGAUUUAUUGCAAUUAUAUAUGUCUCAGCUGCAUGAGUAUUGUUUAAUGUGAGGUGAUUUUUGUCAGCAGCUAUGGAUCAGAAAGGUCUUUAAUUCUUACUUCUAAGAGUUUGGUAGGAUGCCAAGAUAAUAGAAGUGAGACCAGGCUUAAAUGUGAAGCUGUUUCUGAGUUUCAUUUCUUCAUCUCUUAGCAUUAGCCUUGUCUAGUGUAUAUAUUCACAUCAAAAGUUGUGCAGUGCUCGACACAACUUGACACGGUUAUCUUGUUGCAAAAUUCCGAUUGAAUAUCUUUUAUCACCCUUCUUUAUUUUCUUUUACUUUUAUGUUUUCAUGUGUAAAUUAAUCCUAAUGUUUGGUUUGCAAAUGCAGAAACGACAUCAAAAUUUGGUUCUGGCUUAUUCCUUCUUGUUCAAGUUGUGCUUUUGUUGGAUUUUGUGCAUGGUUGGAAUGACAAGUGGGUCGGAUAUGAUGAGCAGUUCUGGUCAGUUGCUUGUAUUGUUCCUCCAACUGUCAUUUUUCCAUUUUUUUUUGUUUUUUGUUUGCUAAAUUGCACUUUUGUGAUCUAUAGGCGCUAUCCUUGGCAUUUGAAUCUUUUGUAGUAAUAUCUUUUUGAAUUAUGCAGGUAUGCCGCCUUGCUUGUUGUUUCAUUGGUUUGCUAUGUGGCAACAUUUUCCUUCGCCGGCCUUCUCUUUUAUUUGUUUACUCCAUCUGGACAUGAUUGCGGACUCAACACCUUUUUCAUUGUGAUGACCCUGAUUUUUGCAUUCCUUUUUGCUAUAGUUACGCUGCAUCCUGCAGUAAGUUCCGACCUUUCAUUUUCUCUUAUUAGCUAAGCCAGUCAUUAUCUUUCAUUCUUACUCUUUGGUUGAGCCUUUUUACACAAAGUUUAGUUCAUUUAACAAGCUGCUUAUAUUGUUGAUCUCACUGUUUAAACCUCAAGGGGUGGGAGUAAUGGCAGAGGCCUUGAGGAAUGACCUCAAGAUUCCUAGUUCCAAUCCCCAUAUUUAGGUUGCCUAUAUAUAUAUAUAUGAGUGUGUGUGUGUAUUGAUCUCCUUGUUUCAACUGCCACAAAAUAGGUAAGUGGCAGCAUUUUGCCAGCCUCAGUUAUAUCUUUGUACUGCACAUACCUCUGCUAUAGUGGACUUGCUAGUGAACCAAGGGAAUAUGCUUGCAAUGGUCUUCACAAGCAUUCUAAAGCGGUCAGCACUGGCACACUCACUGUUGGGCUGCUUACAACUGUGCUAUCUGUUGUCUAUUCUGCUGUUCGUGCGGGAUCUUCUACAACUUUGCUCUCUCCCCCAAGUUCACCUCGAGCAGGUCAGUGUAAUUAUUGAUGAACCCAUUGGGCAUUUGGAAGUGCAUUUCGUCUUCAUGCUUUAUGAAGUAAAUGAGUUUUUGAAGUUUUCUUCGGGUAAAAAAAGUAUGCUGAUUCCAAGUGUUGAUU
rnacentral:lncRNA from 1 species